rnacentral:rRNA from 1 species
UCCGGAGGGCGCAAUCGUUGUUCGGAAUCACUGGGCGUAAAGCGCGUGCAGGCGGCUUGGUAAGUCGGGUGUGAAAUCCCGGAGCUCAACUCCGGAACUGCACCCGAUACUGCCUCGCUAGAGUCCCGGAGAGGAUGGCGGAAUUUCCGGUGUAGAGGUGAAAUUCGUAGAUAUCGGAAGGAACACCAGCGGCGAAGGCGGCCAUCUGGACGGUGACUGACGCUCAGACGCGAAAGCGCGGGGAGAAAACAGG